GACGAACGCUGGCGGCGUGCUUAACACAUGCAAGUCGAACGGAAAGGCCCUGCUUUUGUGGGGUGCUCGAGUGGCGAACGGGUGAGUAACACGUGAGUAACCUGCCCUUGACUUUGGGAUAACUUCAGGAAACUGGGGUUAAUACCGGAUGGGAGCUCCGCCUGCUGGGGGGGGGUGGGAAAUUUUCGGCGGUUGGGGUUGGAUUCGCGGCUUAUCAGCUUGUUGGUGGGGUAGUGGCUUACCAAGGCUUUGACGGGUAGCCGGCCUGAGAGGGUGACCGGCCACAUUGGGACUGAGAUACGGCCCAGACUCCUACGGGAGGCAGCAGUGGGGAAUAUUGCACAAUGGGCGGAAGCCUGAUGCAGCAACGCCGCGUGCGGGAUGACGGCCUUCGGGUUGUAAACCGCUUUCGCCUGUGACGAAGCGUGAGUGACGGUAAUGGGUAAAGAAGCACCGGCUAACUACGUG
rnacentral:rRNA from 1 species